AGUGAACGCUGGCGGUAGGCCUAACACAUGCAAGUCGAACGGCAGCACAGUAAGAGCUUGCUCUUACGGGUGGCGAGUGGCGGACGGGUGAGAAUACAUCGGAAUCUACUUUUUCGUGGGGGAUAACGUAGGGAAACUUACGCUAAUACCGCAUACGACCUACGGGUGAAAGCAGGGGAUCUUCGGACCUUGCGCGAUUGAAUGAGCCGAUGUCGGAUUAGCUAGUUGGCGGGGUAAAGGCCCACCAAGGCGACGAUCCGUAGCUGGUCUGAGAGGAUGAUCAGCCACACUGGAACUGAGACACGGUCCAGACUCCUACGGGAGGCAGCAGUGGGGAAUAUUGGACAAUGGGCGCAAGCCUGAUCCAGCCAUACCGCGUGAGUGAAGAAGGCCUUCGGGUUGUAAAGCCCUUUUGUUGGGAAAGAAAAGCAGCAGGUUAAUACCCCGCUGUUCUGACGGUACCCAAAGAAUAAGCACCGGCUAACUUCGUG
rnacentral:rRNA from 1 species